ACGGGUGAGUAAUACAUCGGAACGUAUCCUGGAGUGGGGGAUAGCCCGGCGAAAGCCGGAUUAAUACCGCAUACGCUCUGAGGAGGAAAGCGGGGGACCUUCGGGCCUCGCGCUCAAGGGGCGGCCGAUGGCGGAUUAGGUAGUUGGUGGGGUAAAGGCCUACCAAGCCGACGAUCCGUAGCUGGUCUGAGAGGACGACCAGCCACACUGGGACUGAGACACGGCCCAGACUCCUACGGGAGGCAGCAGUGGGGAAUUUUGGACAAUGGGGGCAACCCUGAUCCAGCAAUGCCGCGUGUGUGAAGAAGGCCUUCGGGUUGUAAAGCACUUUUGUCCGGAAAGAAAUCAUCGGGGCCAAUGCCCCUGGUGGAUGACGGUACCGGAAGAAUAAGCACCGGCUAACUACGUGCCAGCAGCCGCGGUAAUACGUAGGGUGCGAGCGUUAAUCGGAAUUACUGGGCGUAAAGCGUGCGCAGGCGGUGCUGUAAGACCGAUGUGAAAUCCCCGGGCUUAACCUGGGAACUGCAUUGGUGACUGCAGCGCUGGAGUAUGGCAGAGGGGGGUGGAAUUCCACGU
rnacentral:rRNA from 1 species